rnacentral:rRNA from 1 species
UACGGAGGAUGCAAGCGUUAUCCGGAAUGAUUGGGCGUAAAGCGUCCGCAGGUGGCAAUGUAAGUCUGCUGUUAAAGAGUGAGGCUCAACCUCAUAAGAGCAGUGGAAACUACAUGGCUAGAGUGCGUUCGGGGCAGAGGGAAUUCCUGGUGUAGCGGUGAAAUGCGUAGAUAUCAGGAAGAACACCGGUGGCGAAAGCGCUCUGCUAGGCCGCAACUGACACUGAGGGACGAAAGCUAGGGGAGCGAAUGGG